rnacentral:rRNA from 1 species
UAGGGAAUCUUCGGCAAUGGACGAAAGUCUGACCGAGCAACGCCGCGUGAGUGAAGAAGGUUUUCGGAUCGUAAAACUCUGUUGUUAGAGAAGAACAAGGACGUUAGUAACUGAACGUCCCCUGACGGUAUCUAACCAGAAAGCCACGGCUAACUACGUGCCAGCAGCCGCGGUAAUACGUAGGUGGCAAGCGUUGUCCGGAUGUAUUGGGCGUAAAGCGAGCGCAGGCGGUUUCUUAAGUCUGAUGUGAAAGCCCCCGGCUCAACCGGGGAGGGUCAUUGGAAACUGGGAGACUUGAGUGCAGAAGAGGAGAGUGGAAUUCCAUGUGUAGCGGUGAAAUGCGUAGAUAUAUGGAGGAACACCAGUGGCGAAGGCGGAUCUCUGGUCUGUAACUGACGCUGAGGCUCGAAAGCGUGGGGAGCAAACAGG